AAAAAAAAUAUUUAUAUAUUGAGAACUUAUCUCAUAAUAUCAUCACACAGAUAAAAAAAAAUAAGGGCAAUUGCUUAUAUACCCCUGAAAAGUUCCCGACUUUCCGAUUUACCCCUCUUAGAAGGCUAAUAUUGAAAAAUACCCUUUCUACGUUCCAACCUAUUUCUAAUAUACCCCUAAAGUUAAAAUCUGUUAAUUACCUCUGUUAUCUUUGUAAAAUUACUAUUUUACCCUUUCAAUUAUACCCUUCAACCAUCACUGACUUUCUUAUUUGCCCUUAAAGUCAGGGGCACAAAAAGUAUUUUAACUUUUGGUCUUUUCCAAUAUACCCCUCUACCGUCACCAAUAUUUUUUAUUUGCCCUUAAGUUAAGGGCAAAAUUGGCAUUUUAAUUUAUUUUAACUGCGGUAGAUAUUUAACUCACGUUUAACCUAAGUUAACCUAAUAGGAGAUAACUGCGUGGGUAGUUUGCAAUAAUGGUGGAACAUAUGAGGGGUAUUUUAGAAAGAAAAAAAAAAGUAGGGGUAAAUCGGAUAUUUUCAAACGUACGAGGGAUAUAUAGGCAAUUAUCCCAAAAAAAUAAAUACUUAUGUCAAAAUUUAAUUUGAAAAACGUCGACGCUGCGCAAAACACAUUCCUUUACAUGGCCUUAAUUAUUACAUCACUUUUGGAGAAUAAAACCUUCUACAUCACUAAAAAGAUGUACAUCUGAAAAAAAAAAGCAAUGUACAACCGUACUGCACACGUU
rnacentral:lncRNA from 1 species